rnacentral:rRNA from 1 species
AACACAGGUGCUGCAUGGCUGUCGUCAGCUCGUGUCGGUGAGAUGUUGGGUUAAGUCCCGCAACGAGCGCAACCCUUAUCAUUAGUUGCUACGCAAGGGCACUCUAAUGAGACUGCCGGUGACAAACCGGAGGAAGGUGGGGAUGACGUCAAGUCCUCAUGGCCCUUAUGGGUAGGGCUUCACACGUCAUACAAUGGUCGGUACAGAGGGUUGCCAAGCCGCGAGGCGGAGCCAAUCCCACAAAGCCGAUCGUAGUCCGGAUUGUUCUCUGCAACUCGAGAGCAUGAAGUCGGAAUCGCUAGUAAUCGCAGGUCAGCAUACUGCGGUGAAUACGUUCCCGGGUCUU